rnacentral:lncRNA from 1 species
UUUUCAUUCUAUCAACCCACAAAGAGUAUAGCCAGCAUACUGAAAUGCACAUUGGUUGAAGGUUAAGGACUUCUACAACUAUCUCUGCUCAGCUGAAAGCGGAUAAUGAACAAGAACAUCAAUUUGUGCAAUAAGCUUUUGACUAGGAGAUAAAGUCUUGGAAUCAGCUUUGUGGGGGCAGGGCCUGAUCAUAAAUAUAACAGGAAUCAGAAGUGGAACUGUUUUUAAACGUCUCUGAGAGCUGUGAAAGAGAGAUUCUCCAUUUGGUGAAGGAAAAAUCUUCCAUUAGAGGCAGAUAAUGGCGUUCUUUAUAAAGCAUUUCACAUUAACCAGCUCUACAAAACAAGCUCCUGUGGAUGCAGUCACAUUAUCUGAGCCACUAAGUCUCCUGUGAAGCUGGUUUUAUAUACUCGGGGAAGCACCAAGCCCAAGCAGUUUUGAAUACCAGUGGAAAAACAAGACUCUCAGCAGUUCCAGGAAAAAUAAAUUAUUAAAGCCGAAAGAGAUGGUGGAACAAUUCAUCCCCCAAAUGUACAAAGGAUUCUUGGGAAGGAGGAAGGCAAAAUGCUUUUUUUCUUUCAACCAAUGCCAUUAAAAAUAAAAUUUACAUUUUACUUUAGAAAACUGGCUUUCCAAGUUGAAGGUUGUGACAUUUGGCCACACACCUUUACUUAUACAAAUAAACACAUUAAUCUCAAUGGAACUAUGAAUUUGCUUCUUUUGUAUUAGUGCCAACCUCAGAAUGUGCCCUCAAUGCCUGAUUUUAA